CCCUAGAGGGGGACGGAACAGUUGGAAACGACUGCUAAUACCGCAUACGAUCUAAUCUCGGCAUCGAGGAUGGAUGAAAGGUGGCCUCUAUUUAUAAGCUAUCACUGAAGGAGGGGAUUGCGUCUGAUUAGCUAGUUGGAGGGGUAACGGCCCACCAAGGCGAUGAUCAGUAGCCGGUCUGAGAGGAUGAACGGCCACAUUGGGACUGAGACACGGCCCAG
rnacentral:rRNA from 1 species